rnacentral:rRNA from 1 species
GACGUAGGGCGCGAGCGUUGUCCGGAUUUAUUGGGCGUAAAGAGCUCGUAGGCGGCUCGUUGCGUCGGCUGUGAAAACCCGCAGCUCAACUGUGGGCUUGCAGCCGAUACGGGCGGGCUAGGAUUCGGUAGGGGAGACUGGAAUUCCUGGUGUAGCGGUGAAAUGCGCAGAUAUCAGGAGGAACACCGGUGGCGAAGGCGGGUCUCUGGGCCGAUAUUGACGCUGAGGAGCGAAAGCGUGGGGAGCGAACAGG